GGACGCAUGUACCAAGGUUGGCGACGCUCUUUUGCAAGGAGCGUGGGCGAGUUCGAUUCUCGUCGUCUCCAC
rnacentral:tRNA from 1 species